rnacentral:rRNA from 1 species
GACGAACGCUGGCGGCGUGCUUAACACAUGCAAGUCGAACGGAAAGGCCCUGCUUUUGUGGGGUGCUCGAGUGGCGAACGGGUGAGUAACACGUGAGUAACCUGCCCUUGACUUUGGGAUAACUUCAGGAAACUGGGGCUAAUACCGGAUAGGAGCUCCUGCUGCAUGGUGGGGGUUGGAAAGUUUCGGCGGUUGGGGAUGGACUCGCGGCUUAUCAGCUUGUUGGUGGGGUAGUGGCUUACCAAGGCAUUGACGGGUAGCCGGCCUGAGAGGGUGACCGGCCACAUUGGGACUGAGGUACGGCGCAGUCGCCUACGGGAGGCAGCAGUGGGGAAUAUUGCACAAUGGGACGACGCCUGAUGCAGCGACGCCGCGUGCGGAAUGAAGGCCUGCGGGGUGUGAACCGCUGUCGCCUGUGACGAAGCGUGAGUGACGGUAAUGGGUGAAGAAGCACCGGCUAACUACGUG